rnacentral:rRNA from 1 species
CAGCAGCCGCGGUAAUACGUAGGGUGCGAGCGUUAAUCGGAAUUACUGGGCGUAAAGCGUGCGCAGGCGGUUCGUUAAGACAGAUGUGAAAUCCCCGGGCUUAACCUGGGAACUGCAUUUGUGACUGGCGAGCUAGAGUAUGGCAGAGGGGGGUAGAAUUCCACGUGUAGCAGUGAAAUGCGUAGAGAUGUGGAGGAAUACCGAUGGCGAAGGCAGCCCCCUGGGCCAAUACUGACGCUCAUGCACGAAAGCGUGGGGAGCAAACAGGAUUAGAUACCCGUGUAGUCCCUGUCUCUUAUUC